CUGUUGCCUCUGACUGCGUCCACACCCGUCAGAUGUUAAAUUAAAGCUUUGUAUGGUCUUAAGA